CAACAAACGUGUGCACCUUACACACUGUACCGCCAGAUGUAAAGGUUGCGACAGCGUAGCAAGGAAGGAACUGAUCACUGCAGUGAAUGAGGCAUUGUCAACUAUUGUAUGUUGGAGUGACCUGGAUCACUAGCCAAGCUGAGUUUCUGGUAAUCACAUAAUCCAGCUGUUCAACGCCUAGCAGCUGCUUUCAUCUCCAUAGUGAAAACUACACAGACCAUGACUGCAGUGAAGAGUGUAUGAGCCGUGCUACAAUAACCAGUUUAUCAUCGACCUGAAAGUACUUCAAAAUGUCUAACAAUGAACCAUUUGGUGAUCCCAAGUUCAUUUCCAAUAUCUUACCCUGGAUUUAUAAAUUGGAUACAACGAGCUUUCGACAUUCUAUGCAGGACAACGGUGCGUUCACAAGUACAACACAAAUUGAGACACUGGAGCGUCUGGAAAAAUACGAAGGAAAGGAAAAGCAUAAUUCUCACAUCAUCAGUCUUAUUCGUCCUGGAGGCACAGCUGCUUAUAAACUACUCUGCAAUGCAAUCCAUGACUUGGGUCCAUUGUACAAUGAAAAGUACCAAGAAAUGCUUCUCCUGUUGCCUGUUGACCAGCGACCAACGACCAAGACAUCCUCUUCCGAGACAGGUAAUUGAUAUGUGUAGAAUGGGGAGGGUUUCAGGGUUGUGGAUGUAUCAUUAACAGUCUGAACAUGCCCAAUUUAUACAUUGCCACCAACCAAACUUCUGCUGUCAGGGAAAUUUUAGUUUUGUACCUUACCAGCAGAAUACAACUCAUUACACCAAAGUGUCGUCUAGUUAAAAGUGAACUAUACCCCUCUUGCGGCCGCGAUACACAACAGAAGGCCAGCUGUUUAGUUGGAGAGAAUACUUUGUUCUUUCUCUAAGGAAAUGUCUGGACAACUGACGUAUGACAACUGACAAGUGAAUAAUAUCCAGGAAAGUGGUGCACUCAUCAGCACAAAAGGUGCACGGGUCAGCGAUACAAUGCUGUCCCAAUGUGGACCAGUGCGAGAAGUGUGUACAGAGCGGGUGACUAUAAAGCCUAGUUCACAUUCGACGGGGCACGACGGGACGUGACGUAAGGAUCGACGAGAAGCGACGGGACAGUCUGACGGCGUCCAAUGUGAACACCAGGAACGGGAACGCAGCUGUACUGCCGUACAGAUCGGGAAGCGACGGGAAGAGUUGGAUCGAUCCAACUUGUCAUACCGUAGACGGGCGUAGUCAGGAUGCAAGUGUACAAAACAGCUGCAUUUUGAGUGUGAACAGGAGACGGCGUUGUGCGCCGACUACUCCCGUUUCGUACUUGGGAAAUUUUUAGCAUUUCGAACACUGUGCUUCCCAUGAUAACUCGCAGAAUGGCUAACACGACUUGAGUUGAAUUUUAGCAAGAUACGGUCUGGUGUCACUUAUGGUAUUUUGGGAUAGUUCAGGAGCGUGACAGACGAACUGUUUUAUCAUUCCCUGGAGCUAUUAUUUGAAUAGCACGCCUUUCGAUGCUACAUUUUUGGUGUUGAUGAAAAACUGGUAUUGUGAACUUGAUUCCGCUUCAUUCAAGGAGAAAUAAUUGAAAAGAAGUACCGAAGAACAAAAAAUAGGUCCAAA